rnacentral:misc_RNA from 1 species
AAGAGACGUUGCCCUUCGGGGUAUACCUCCCACCCUUUGUUUAUUAUACCUUUGUUGCUUUGGCGGGCCCGUCCUCGGACCAUCGGCUUCUGCUGGUCAGUGCCCGCCAGAGGACCUAAAACUCUGUUUGUUAAUAUUGUCUGAGUACUAUAUAAUAGUUA